UACGUAGGGUGCGAGCGUUAAUCGGAAUUACUGGGCGUAAAGCGUGCGCAGGCGGUUCGUUGUGUCGGCGGUGAAAGCCCCGGGCUUAACCUGGGAAUGGCCGUUGAAACUGGCGAACUGGAGUGUGGCAGAGGGGGGUGGAAUUCCGCGUGUAGCAGUGAAAUGCGUAGAGAUGCGGAGGAACACCGAUGGCGAAGGCAGCCCCCUGGGCUAACACUGACGCUCAGGCACGAAAGCGUGGGGAGCAAACAGGAUAG
rnacentral:rRNA from 1 species